CCUACGGGAGGCAGCAGUAGGGAAUCUUCCACAAUGGGCGAAAGCCUGAUGGAGCAACGCCGCGUGGGUGAAGAAGGUCUUCGGAUCGUAAAACCCUGUUGUUAGAGAAGAAAGUGCGUGAGCGUAACUGUUCACGUUUCGACGGUAUCUAACCAGAAAGCCACGGCUAACUCCGUGCCAGCAGCCGCGGUAAUACGUAGGUGGCAAGCGUUAUCCGGAUUUAUUGGGCGUAAAGGGAACGCAGGCGGUCUUUUAAGUCUGAUGUGAAAGCCUUCGGCUUAACCGGAGUAGUGCAUUGGAAACUGGGAGACUGGAGUGCAGAAGAGGAGAGUGGAACUCCAUGUGUAGCGGUGAAAUGCGUAGAUAUAUGGAAGAACACCAGUGGCGAAAGCGGCUCUCUGGUCUGUAACUGACGCUGAGGUUCGAAAGCGUGGGUAGCAAACAGGAUUAGAUACCCUUGUAGUC
rnacentral:rRNA from 1 species